CAUGAACCUCCAGAUGACGAAAUAUGGCACUUUCAGGAAACAUGCUAGUAAUUUCAUUGAGCCUACCAUCAUACAUAAGUGGAACAGAGAUCGACUACAUAUUAUUACACAGCUGCAACAGCAGGGAAAGGUUCCAUUAGCUGGAAAUAUGCGCACUAACACACCAGGACACUGGUAGCUACACUUUGAUGCAUGUGGAAACCAACAAAAUUCUGGAUCUUCAACUAAUUCAGAGCAACGAGGUGGGAGGCAGUUACCACAUGGAAAAGGAGGGAUUAAAGCAUUGCCUUGAUAAACUGGAGUCAAAUGGUUUAGCUGUUGACUACAUAAUCACCGAUAGACAUCCACAGAUUCAAAAGUAUGUGAGGGAACACAGUAUCACUCAGU